rnacentral:tRNA from 1 species
GCUCAGAUGGUGAAAUUGGUAGACAUGCAGGCUUGAGGGGCCUGUGGGCCCUAGGCCCGUGGAGGUUCGAGUCCUCUUCUGAGCACAA